rfam:Glarea lozoyensis ATCC 20868 chromosome Tnknown GLAREA2, whole genome shotgun sequence.
CUUCAGUGACUUGUUGCGGACAUAUGAAAUGUAUGUGGGUGUCAAAACCCCCCGCAGUUAUGAUCUUUCCUUCACCGGCUAUUAUGUCUGUGCAAGAUCCGACGAUCAUUCCAGGGGAAACACCAGCCAUAACAUCCGGGUUUCCAGCUUUCCCAAUACCAACGAUUACCCCAUUUUUGACGCCGAUAUCUGCUUUAUAUAUGCCAGUCCAGUCCACAAUCAAGGCAUUCACAAUCGCAAGAUCCAGAGAAAUGUCGUCAGAAACGCCUGUUGCUUGACCCAUACCUUCACGCAAUG